rnacentral:lncRNA from 1 species
CUCUCAUACCAUUGAUCGGGCACUGUGUGAUCGGGAAUGUUACUUGAUGUGCUUGCAUGGGGCAAGGCUUGUUGAUUGCUUGCGCGGGGCAAGGUUUGAGUUGCUUGCGCCGGGCAAGGCUUUUUUGAUUGCUUGCGCGAGGCAAGGCUUUUUGUAGCUUGAUCAUAUUUUGACGAAUUGCUUAAUUCUUAUUAUACUUUAAAAAAGACUUGGCACGCAGGCCUGACAACUAAAAACGUGAACCUUGGCACGCAGGCCUGACAAUUGAAAACGUGAACCUUGAUGCGCAGGCCUGACUACAGAUAAUUGGAAGACUCAUAAUAUAUCUUUAAAUUCUCGGCGUUCCAUGGUCUAGGAAGCGGCCUUCCUGACGUAUCCCUUAAAUUGUAUGUGCCUCCUUGGAUUUGUCGUAUGACUUCGAAGGGCCCUUCCCAAACUGGUCCUAGCUUGCCCGGGGCAUGACCUGCUGCUUCAGCCCUUCUUAACACAAGGUCUCCGGCUCUAAAUCUCCGCGUCCUUACCUUUUUCUUGAAGUACUUUGCUGUUUUAUCCUGGUAAGAGGCCAUUUUUAAAGCAGCCCGAUCCCGAACUUCUUCUAAGAGGUCUAGGUGUUCAGUUGUGCACCCUACAUCUUCGGGCUCGAGCCUCCUUUGGCUGGGCAACCUGACUUCAACAGGGAUGGUGGCCUCAAUUCCAAAAGCCAACAUGAAGGGGGUUUCCCCUGUAGCAGUGCUGUGUGACGUUCUAUACGUCCAAAGUAUGGAAGGCAACUCGACAGACUAGGAACCUCUUGCAUCGCCGAUCCUUGUACGGAGAUCUUGCAAUAUAAUCCGAUUGGUCACUUCGGUGAGACCAUUACUUUGAGGAUGGGAAACCGACGUCAAACGGUGAUCAACUCCUAGGUCGGCACAAAAGUUUUUAAAUUGUGCAUUGUCAAACUGCCUGCCAUUAUCAGUUAUGAGGACUUUUGGUAUCCCGAACCUACAUAUGAUGGAUCUCCAAAUGAAACUUCUUAACUUUGGCUCUGAAAUUGUUGCUAAAGGCUCGGCCUCUACUCACUUAGUGAAAUACUCUACAGCCACAGCCACAAACUUCAAUUGUCCCCUACUUAUUGGAAAGGGACCAAGGAUGUCAAUUCCCCACUGCUCAAAUGGGGCUGUGCAACCAAUGCUAGUGAGGUCUUUUGCGGGAGGGAGGAUGACAUUGCCAAAUCUUUGGCACUUGUCACACUUCUUGAUAUAUUCCUAGGCGUCUUUCUUUAUGGUUGGCCAAUAAUAUCCAUACCUUAUGAGCUUGAAGGCUAAAGCCCGUGCUCCUUGAUGGUUCCCACAUACACCUUCAUGAACUUCUUCUACGGCCUAGGAUGAUUCGGAAGGCCUAAGGCAUAUGAGGUACGGAAGUGUGAGGCUCCUGAGAAAUAAAAUACCUUUAAUCAUGCAAUACCUUUGAGCUUUGGACCGGAUGCUUCUCGCUGCCUGAGGAUCUGCUGGAAGACUUCCAUGUUUUAUGAAGUCCACUAUUGGGUCCAUCCAUGAUGUCUCAUUAUCAAUAUCUAUG